GACGAACGCUGGCGGCGUGCUUAACACAUGCAAGUCGAACGGAAAGGCCCUUCGGGGUACUCGAGUGGCGAACGGGUGAGUAACACGUGGGUGAUCUGCCCUGCACUUUGGGAUAAGCCUGGGAAACUGGGUCUAAUACCGGAUAGGACCACGGCAUUCAUGUGCUGUGGUGGAAAGCUUUUGCGGUGUGGGAUGGGCCCGCGGCCUAUCAGCUUGUUGGUGGGGUAAUGGCCUACCAAGGCGACGACGGGUAGCCGGCCUGAGAGGGUGACCGGCCACAUUGGGACUGAGAUACGGCCCAGACUCCUACGGGAGGCAGCAGUGGGGAAUAUUGCACAAUGGGCGCAAGCCUGAUGCAGCGACGCCGCGUGAGGGAUGACGGCCUUCGGGUUGUAAACCUCUUUCGCCAGGGACGAAGCGCAAGUGACGGUACCUGGAGAAGAAGGACCGGCCAACUACGUG
rnacentral:rRNA from 1 species